UGGGAAGUGAUGACGCUCGUGAUCUUGACAUCGUGCUGAUUUCUCACGUAUUCGUACUGUCUGAUCCCA
ensembl:snoRNA small nucleolar RNA, C/D box 41